GCGCUCUUCCUUCGCCCAGGUUGUACGAGGUCCGCAUCCAGGCCUCGGUCCCUCGACCCUAGGGCUUUAGGGAACCGUUGCUGAACGGAUGUCGCCUUCCCAUCAAUGAGGAAAAGUUAGAGAGGAAGUAGGUUGCGUGGACAGAGCUCGCAGCAGGAGAAGGACUUGGGUGGGUCCCUAGAAAGCCAGACGUUCGUCGGAUGAACCUGAGGCGCGGAGGAGCGUCACCCAGAGUUCUGGGGCGCCGUUGGCUCUCACCCCAGGUUUCUGAACUGCGUGUUCCGUGAGCCCGUUUACGAAAUGAAAUCUCCUUUACCGAGAACCAGGAAGUGGGGCCAGCGCCUGGUGGACGCUUGUCGCAGAGACAGCUUUGCGAGCCUUCUCUCCAUUCUAAUUAGCUUGUUUCUCUAGCUUCCAAGUCUGCAGGCAAUUCAAAGUGGAGAGGGGUUGGAGGGUCAGGGAAUGAAUGAAUUGUUGUCAAGCAAAUCUCAUGCCCUCAAAAAUGUGCAGGGGUCAAGGAAGAACAUACUAAGUGGAAAGGAUAGAAGAUGAACAAACCCGUAACAUCAUCAACGUAUGUGCGCAGCCUCAACCUUGGACUAAUUAGGAAGCUGUCAGAUUUUAUUGAUCCUCAAGAAGGGUGGAAGAAGUUAGCUGUAGCUAUUAAAAAACCAUCUGGUGAUGAUAGAUACAAUCAAUUUCACAUAAGGAGAUUUGAAGCAUUACUCCAAACUGGAAAAAGUCCCACCAGUGAAUUACUCUUUGACUGGGGUACCACAAACUGCACAGUUGGUGAUCUUGUGGAUCUUUUGGUCCAAAAUGAGUUUUUUGCUCCUGCAAGUCUUUUGCUCCCAGAUGCUAUUCCCAAAACGGUUAACACGCUGCCGUCUAAGGAAGCCGCAACUGUUGAGCAGACGCAUUUGCCUUUCUGUGACAAAGACAGGACCUCUGCGAGGCCUGUGCAGAACCUUGACCAGAACUUCGUGCUACCCGACUCCUCAAGUCCAGACAACGCAAGCGGAGAAGUUAGUGAUACACGUUUUCACAGUUUUUCAUUUUAUGAACUGAAGAAUGUCACGAAUAACUUUGAUGAACGACCCCUAUCUGUGGGUGGUAACAAAAUGGGAGAGGGAGGAUUUGGCGUCGUGUAUAAAGGCUACGUGAACAACACAACCGUGGCUGUGAAGAAGCUGGCAGCGAUGGUUGACAUUAGUACGGAAGAACUAAAACAACAAUUUGAUCAAGAAAUAAAAGUAAUGGCAAAGUGUCAACAUGAAAACUUAGUAGAACUACUUGGUUUCUCAAGCGACGGGGAUGAUCUCUGCUUGGUCUAUGUUUAUAUGCCCAAUGGUUCACUGCUAGACAGGCUAUCUUGCCUGGAUGGUACCCCGCCACUUACUUGGCACAUGAGAUACAAGAUUGCUCAGGGUGCAGCUAGUGGCAUCAGCUUUCUACACGAAAACCAUCAUAUACACAGAGAUAUUAAAAGUGCAAAUAUCUUACUAGAUGAAGAUUUUACUGCCAAAAUAUCUGACUUUGGGCUCGCACGGGCUUCUGAGAAGUUUUCCCAGACAGUCAUGACUAGCAGAAUCGUGGGAACAACGGCGUAUAUGGCACCUGAAGCUUUGCGAGGGGAAAUAACACCCAAAUCUGACAUUUACAGCUUCGGUGUGGUUUUACUAGAAAUAAUAACUGGACUUCCGGCUGUGGAUGAGCACCGUGAACCUCAGUUAUUGCUAGAUAUUAAAGAAGAAAUUGAAGAUGAAGAAAAGACAAUUGAAGAUUAUGUUGAUACAAAGAUGAAUGAUGCUGACUCUACUUCAGUUGAAGCUAUGUACUCGAUUUCUAGUCAAUGUCUUCAUGAAAAGAAAAAUAAGAGGCCAGAUAUUAAGAAGGUUCAACAGAUGCUACAAGAGAUGACAGCUUCUUAGAACUUUAUUGGGACAGAUUUUUGACUUUUUAUAUACAGCUAUAUAAACUGCUUUUUAAACUAGUUUUUUUCCUAAACAUUAUUUACCUUUACCUUACCAAGGGAGCCUGGUGCAAUGCAGUGGUUAUUAAAGGAUGGGUUGAAUUUAUUUUGAACACAAAAUAAAUAAAGGCAGACCCACCAUGUCAAAACUUGACUCUACACACUUAAUAUUGCCCUCGAUUCAUGAAGUAAUCCCUGAAACGUCUCCUGUGAACAUUAUCAAACACUGUUUGAAAACUGUAUGAUUAGUGAAAAUAAAACAGGCUAUAGGGUGAAAAGACCCUGGUCUGAAGCCUAACUGACUCUACUGCUAAUUAGCUGUAAAGCUUUGGGCAAACUCUUAGCAGCUGUGAGGUUUGGCUUUUUCACUUACAACAUUGGACUAAUAAUCUGCUGAGCCUCUCUGAUCAGUAGUCAUAAAAAUCAAACGAUGCAAAAUAUAUACAAGCACUUUGCAAUCUGUAAAGUACAUAAAAUUUAAAGUUUAUAGAGAUAACUAUAAAGUCCUGUUAUAGCAGGAUGGUUUAUAGAAUCAUGUUUACGGUAUGUUAUUUUAAGCAAUCAUUCAUCACAAACCAAAUAUCCCUUAAUGAUGCUGCUAAUGAUAAUGAUAUGUAUGAAGGAAUUUUGCAGAUGUAAUUAAGGUUCUCAAUCAACUGAUUUUGAGUAUCAAAAGGGAGGCUUUUGAGUGGGCCUGACUUAACCAGGAGAACCCUUGCAAGAGGCCAGAGAGCUUCUCCUGUGGGCCUUGAAGAAGUACCACAUUGUAAAAAGUCCACAUUGGCUAAAUCCUACAGAUGGGAGAUGAAAACCACCCUCUAGCUGUCAAUAACCAGGAAAAAAAAAAAAGGGACCUCAGUUGUACAACCACAAGGAAUUGAAUUCUACCAACAACCUGAAUGAACUUAGAUAAAUACUCCAAGUUUCAGGUAAUAACCACACUCUGAGCUGAUGCUUAGAUUUCAGCUUUGCAAAACCCUCCAAGUGACAAUCUAUCUGAGCCAUGCCUGGACCUGACUUAAAAAGCUGUGAGAUGAGAACAAAUGGGGUUGUGCUGAGUCACUAAGUUUAUGGUGAGGAAAUUGAAGUGACAUAAACUGGUGAAGAUGAUGCAGCUAAUAAAGUGCAGAGUUUGGAUUCUCAGGCAUCUGGCAUCAGUCUGUAACCUCCACCACUAUACCAUUCCCUAUGUUAUCUUACUAGUUACAAUCAUUUUCUCUAUCAUGUGUUGACAACUGUUGUUCCAAGCAUCAUGCUAAAUGCUUUAUGAGUUAAUAAAUAAUUCU